GACGAACGCUGGCGGCGUGCCUAAUACAUGCAAGUGGGACGCAAGGGAACACACUGUGCUUGCACACCGUGUUUUCUUGAGUCGCGAACGGGUGAGUAACGCGUAGGUAACCUGCCUAUUAGCGGGGGAUAACUAUUGGAAACGAUAGCUAAUACCGCAUAAUAUUAAUUAUUGCAUGAUAAUUGAUUGAAAGAUGCAAGCGCAUCACUAGUAGAUGGACCUGCGUUGUAUUAGCUAGUUGGUAAGGUAAGAGCUUACCAAGGCGACGAUACAUAGCCGACCUGAGAGGGUGAUCGGCCACACUGGGACUGAGACACGGCCCAGACUCCUACGGGAGGCAGCAGUAGGGAAUCUUCGGCAAUGGACGAAAGUCUGACCGAGCAACGCCGCGUGAGCGAAGAAGGUUUUCGGAUCGUAAAGCUCUGUUGUAAGUCAAGAACGUGUGUGAGAGGGAAAGUUCACAC
rnacentral:rRNA from 1 species